UGAAAAACUCAUUGGACAAUAUCCUGUGGAUUAAUUCAUACAUUAAAGAGAUGAAGGAGUUAGUUUUUAAUAUUUUAGGGUAAAAAGGAGGUUAUUUUGUAUUAUAAAAGAGGGGAAGGGGGUAAUUUUUAUCAUCACUCAAAAUACACAACACAGACUUUAACAAAACACACAGAUAUACACACAUAUUAGAUACCUCUCUCCUCUCUCAUUUUCUCUCUUUUUUCUCCUUCUUAGUGCCGCUAAAAUCUAUUGUAUUCCGGUGAGCUUUCCGCUGACAAACCACCACCGUAAACCCUAUCCUCUUUCUCUCUCUAAAAAACCACAACCGCAUUACCACUAGCCGACCGACGUUGUACGAAUACCACAAUCACUGCACCACUCUUCCUCUCUUCCUCUUUUUAUUUCUGUCACCUUUCGCUAGAGGUGAUGACCGGUGAGAUCCAUAAAGACCACCACUCCUACCGAACCAGCCACCUAUAGCCUGGAGCGCCACCCCUUCCCACCCUUCUUCUUUUCUUUAUCCUCUAUGGCGUUGGGUAGUCAACCACCCACAGCCACCGCUGUCCACCACUCUAAUCCCAUCGGCCGUCGCGUCUCCAUUAACCUCCUUCCCCUUCCCCUUCUCCCUUAUUUUUGGCCACGACUCACCGGAGUUGGUCACCGACAGAUGGGCCUCCGGUUAAGCACAUCCAACCGUCUUUCAUCCCUUGUUUUUGCCAUUCCUUCGCCAGAGGAGAUAAUUUUGCUGGUUUCAAGAAAGAGAGCAGGAAAGCAGUGUGACAACCUAUUUUAUGAAAUUCUUUUAUCAUAAAGCAUAUAUUUAUUAACUGAUAGAAAAGGGGAAGUAAAAAUUUUCAACUUUGCUAGAAUUUUUUCAUGCUGAAUCUACUUUUUUCUUGGUUGAACCGGAUGGGUAUGAUUUUAUAGAUCUGGUUGUUUAUUGUAUUUUCGACAUUCACCGUAGAAGCAAUGUUUCCCUCCCUCAUUUAUUGCAGAUCUGGUUGUAGUUUUUAUUCUCCGGUGAAGCUUUGUUAAAACUGAUAAGCUCCACUGUUUUCACUAUUUUUUUCAUAACCUUGUUAAUUGUAUUUACAAUUUCUUUUCUUUUCUUUUGCUAAGUUUUGCUUGCUGCCCUGUGA